UACGGGGGGGGCAAGCGUUGUUCGGAAUUACUGGGCGUAAAGGGCCAGUAGGCGGCCAACUAAGUCCGACGUGAAAUCCCCAGGCUUAACUUGGGAACUGCGUCGGAUACUGGAUGGCUUGAAUUCGGGAGAGGGAUGCAGAAUUCCAGGUGUAGCGGUGAAAUGCGUAGAUAUCGGGAGGAACACCUGUGGCGAAAGCGGCGCACUGGACCACAUCUGACGCUGAGGCGCGAAAGCUAGGGGAGCAAACAGG
rnacentral:rRNA from 1 species